UGUUCUUAUUCAGUUUUUAAAUACAUUUUGAAGUUUUGGAUAAGUUUUGGUGUUUUAAGAUGGAAAAAAAAGUACGUUCGAAUAGAAUAAGAGUUCAGUGUUUAUCGUGUGGUUCAGAGUUUGUGAAAGAAUAUAAACCUACACAUGAGAAAAAGAUGCACGGCGGAAAAUGUGUAGCAAUAAAACUAGUAGGCGCUCCAGACAAUCCUUUUGUUUUGGCGGCAAAAAAAAGACGAAAUGAAGAAGUUAGCGAAGGUAGGUAAAAAUACAUACUAAUACAACUAAAUCGCGGGUUUGGCCUUGUAAUGAGGUAAAAAGUAAAGGAGAUGAUAUAGUCAAGAUUGUUUACACCCCUUUUAAAAGAGGGGUGUGCUAAAACCACAAAAUUAUCUAGAUUUUUAUAUUCAUUCAUUAUAUUUAUUCAGUCAUUAAAAAUAAACAAUACUUAAUUAGCAAGCUUAAUUUCGCGAUAAAUUAUUACCUACGUAUUGUAUUGUUUUAGCAUCGUCUAGUUCGAUAGAAAAUAUACUUGAAUUGGCAGUGAAUAAAAGAAAGAGCAAAGAAGAAUCUAAAGAUGUAACAAAUACUAAAAAGCCAAAACAGUUAAUUACCGUUUUUCCGGAAGCUGAACAAAGUAAAGACAUUUUAAUUGAGGAGCCUGAAAAUGAAAACAUUGAAAGCUACACAUUUCAGGAAUCAGAACAUGAAACAGGAGAUGAUCACGAACAUUUUUCAGACCGCAUAAGCUCUAACUCUAAGACUCAACUUAAUAGUGAUUCGAUGGAUAACUUAG